GUGAGGAAUAUUGCGCAAUGGAGGCAACUCUGACGCAGCCAUGCCGCGUGCAGGAAGAAGGCGCUACGCGUUGUAAACUGCUUUUAACCGGGAAGAAACCCCAGGACGUGUCCUGGGUUGACGGUACCGGAGGAAUAAGCACCGGCUAACUUCGUGCCAGCAGCCGCGGUAAUACGAAGGGUGCAAGCGUUAUCCGGAUUCAUUGGGUUUAAAGGGCGCGUAGGCGGAGCGUUAAGUCAGUGGUGAAAUCCUGCAGCUUAACUGUAGACUUGCCAUUGAUACUGGCGCUCUUGAGUGCGCUUGAAGUGGGCGGAAUGUGCCGUGUAGCGGUGAAAUGCUUAGAUAUGGCACAGAACACCAAUUGCGAAGGCAGCUCACUAAGGCGAUACUGACGCUGAGGCACGAAAGCGUGGGGAUCGAACAGGAUUAGAUACCCUAGUAGUCC
rnacentral:rRNA from 1 species